AUACGGAGGAUGCGAGCGUUAUCCGGAUUUAUUGGGUUUAAAGGGUGCGUAGGCGGUUUUUUAAGUCAGCGGUGAAACGCAAGGGCUCAACCCUUGACCUGCCGUUGAAACUGGAGGACUUGAAUGCGGAUGCUGGGGGAGGAAUGUGUGGUGUAGCGGUGAAAUGCAUAGAUAUCACACAGAACACCGAUUGCGAAGGCAUCUCACAAAUCCGUGAUUGACGCUGAGGCACGAAAGUGUGGGGAUCAAACAGGAUUAGAUACCCUGGUAGUCCACACUGUAAACGAUGAUGACUCGCUGUCGGCGAUAUACAGUCGGUGGCCAAGCGAAAGCGAUAAGUCAUCCACCUGGGGAGUACGACCGCAAGGUUGAAACUCAAAGGAAUUGACGGGG
rnacentral:rRNA from 1 species